rnacentral:rRNA from 1 species
AGCGUGUGGUUUAAUUCGAUGCUACACGAAGAACCUUACCAGGGUUUGACAUACAAGUAGUAGGGAAAGGAAACUGGACCGACCCUUCGGGGAGCUUGUACAGGUGCUGCAUGGCUGUCGUCAGCUCGUGUCGUGAGAUGUUCGGUUAAGUCCGCUAACGAGCGCAACCCUCGCUGUGUGUUACAAGUGUCACACGGAACUGCCGGUCAUAAACCGGAGGAAGGUGGGGAUGACGUCAAGUCAGCAUGGCCUUUAUGACCAGGGCUACACACGUACUACAAUGGCCGGUACAAAGGGCAGCGACACAGCGAUGUGAAGCCAAUCCCGAAAAGCCGGUCUCAGUCCGGAUUGGAGUCUGCAACUCGACUCCAUGAAGUUGGAAUCGCUAGUAAUCGCGGAUCAGCACGCCGCGGUGAAUACGUUCCCGGGCCUU